rnacentral:lncRNA from 1 species
UUGGAUCCAGCCUUGCUCUUGGUUGUGUCCAUCGGCUUGUCGAGGUUAGCUUCUAGGAAGAAGUCAUCAACAUUCACAUCCUUAGCAUCCUUGCAGGGGAACCCAUUGACACGUACUGCAUUGAAGAACAUACAAAGGUCAGAUCAAAAGCUAGAAACAUAUAUAUGUACAACAUGAAUGUCUCGGAUCAUUGUUAAUCUGAUGUAACCGCAUGAUCAGUGAAGAAGUACACUACCUGGAGAGUUCCUGUCGGCAACGCAGAAGUCCUGAAGAGGACUGGGAUCAAAAGCCAUGGCCUGAGUAGCGACCAAAGCGAUGAGAGCUGUGGGAAGAAAGAAGUUGGAGGAGGCCAUGUUAAGUUGAUGGAACUUUUGCUUGUGUACAAGUAGUGGUCGAUGAUUCUUGUAUAGCUAUAGUUGAUGCUUUGCCCAUGGAAAUGAUGCAUCCAUAUAUAUAGGCCUCUGAGCAUGAGAUGAUUUUGAAGUGGUCAAUAACAAAAGGCUGAGCUAGCUUGUGACUGGUUCAUCUCCUCUAAAGUCUGAACUGAUCUUGAACUCUUAAUAGAUUGCAUCUGGGAAAGAAACUAUUUAAUUUGAUGGAUUCAAUCUAUCUUAAUUCCCAGUCAACAGCUAGGUUGGCCGACUAAUUAAUUAAUUAGAUUAUUCCAGUGCCUGUCAUGCAUGAUGCAUGCAUUAGAUUUAUUAUGUCUUGCCUGGCUCUGUUAUCAGGUGCAGAGAAACAUAUUAUGAUAAAGAUAGGGAGAUGAAUUUUAUCUCUCAAGAAGAUUUUAAAAAAAUGAUAAGACAAUUAAAUUAAAUUAAAAUAUAUCCCUUUACAAACAUACAAGUUUGAUACGACACCUAUAAGUUGUAAAAAAAUAACCGUGAAUGUACGUUAACUAUUACUAAGAACCGAGUAGAUUGACCAUGUCUUCUCUAUCCAUGUAAAAUAUACUUGGUCCCUUUCGUCUCUGCAUAUUCAGGCAUCCAUGUGUGUUACGGGAAUAUAACGUCUGAAUGUCUGAUUAAUUAGUCAAGAGCUAGCACACAUGCUAAUUAAAAGGGAAGUUGAUAAUGUCAGUAUUGCAGUUAAUUGCUGAAUAUAUCAACACGCUCUCUGUUGCCUACAGCUGCCGAGACAGUUUCAAGCUAAUAACUAAUGGUACUUUGGUUAAUUCAGUUGAAAGCUCAACAGAUCAAUUACAUCAUCAAUUACAUCGGCCGCCGGCUCUUCAUUCUCCUGGCCAGAUGCAUAUGGAUAGCUAGGAGAGGAGUUAAAACAAAUACUAGCUUCCAAUAUGGCUGUGUUUGGCAAAUAGGAUUGAGAAAUAAUAUCCCACCCUCCAAAAGGCAACAUUGCAUCUUAGCCAUCCAUUCUUCACACUUUAUUUAAUCCUAGCCAUUCAUCUAUUUCCAUUUCCCAAUCCGACCUCCCAUAUCCUAUUUGCUAAACAUACCCUAUAUGGAAAUAUUUAUCUUUUUAGCGCUUCUUAUAUUAUACUUCCUGUGUCUCCAGGAGUGUGUUUUGUAUAUAAAAAAAGGGAUUAUAAAAAAAAAGUACCACAAUUUUUUUAAGUAAAAAACUUUCAAAUAUAAUUGUAGUAUAGUUGUAAUUUAAUUCUACAAUAAUUAUACUAUAACUACAAUGUGACUUGUAAGGAUUAAAAAAUAUGCAACUUUAUAGCUAAGUUAUAUCAAGAUUAGAAUGUAAGCAUAUUGUAAGUACAAUGUAGUUACAAUGUAACUAUAGUGUAAUUAUAUUAUAGUUAUACUACAACUAUGCCAUAGUUAUAUUUGAAAGCUUUUACCAAAAAAAAAUUGCGACAGUUUUUUUUUAGCAAUUUCCAAAAUAUAGAUUUAGUGAAAACACUUCAAGCCGGGCGUUGGAUCUGGGAGAAAAAACCGGCUCCCCGCCAAUCAUUCCCAUCCACUCAUUCAAGUAUUUCUCUCUCCCUUGUCUCGCUCGCAUCUCUCUCCCUUAUCGCGCACUCGCUUACUCUACUAUCUCUCUCUCUCUCUCUCUCUGUGUGUGUGUGUGUCUCCCACCGAGGCUUUGAUGCAGCGAUGACGCGUCCCCAUAAGGGCAGCUAGCGCCGAUGGCAACGGGAGGAUCAACUACAACGACGACAACGAGGAGGAGAGCAACCCAUCGUGGCAAAGCAGCAGAUGGAGCAAGUGGUGGUCACGCCAUCGUAGCUGACAACAAGUCAAGGUCAUUUAUGGAAAGAAUCACCGGGUCAUCACAUUGCAGCGUUUGAGGUUGUCGAAGAAAGCCCGAUCCAACCAUUAGAGGGGAGGAGGAAGUCAUAUAUAGCCAAUACAUUUUUUUUAAUGUUUAAAAUUUCUAAUGUUUAAGCCAAUGUUUUUUUUAUGUUUCUUUUUGUUAGAUUGUAAUGUUGUACUAGGAAUUUUAAUGUUGUUUCAUAUUUUUGUCUUCAGUUCAUUGUAAUGUCGUUUCAUGUCCGAUCGAUUAGGUCACCAACUCCGUUGUUGGCCAAAUGAGAUUCAGGAUCAGAUGGUCUUUAAGGGGUUCUUUAGGACGUGCGUGGUAAUUGUAAAGUGUGAAAUUCCUACAUUCAAAGGAGUAAUAAACUCUUGAGUCUUGAGCAAAUCGUAGGUUUGAAAGUAAGACACUACAGGUUGAUUAUUGGAGUUAUUGAAUGGUUCACACCUAUAAACCGUUUACUAGUUAUUGAACAGUUCACAUCUAUAAACCGCCCACUAAGCUAGCCAAGCAAUAAAAAGUCAACCAAAAUUUCAUUUCUUACAUAAUUUGUUUAGAUUUUGUUGGUUUUUAAAGUAAUUAAUGGUCAUGUAUAAAGGAAUUUAGUUCGCAUGUACAAACAUUUUUGUUAUCUUUCUCAAGCAUGUAGGGAUAAUUGAGAAAGAAUAGAUUAAUUUGGAUGAGUGCUAUGAGCUUGUGAACAACAUAAGAAAUAUAAGUACUGAACUAGCUAGGGCAAUGCUUCCCCAGUAAUAUGAUUUUAAUUAUCCAUCUUUAUGAGUGUUAAAAAAGUACCCAAGAAAUCAACGAUAUUAAAUUAAUACCCCAGAUCAUACAUCAUGUGACAAAUAUAUAUGUGUACUGAUAUACAUUAUUCAUAAAAAGAAUCAUAUAAAAUAUCGAGUUUAGGAUUACAUGAAGUAUACAAUAUUUAGCUAAUAUAAUAAUCAACAAACUCUUUUUACUACCAAUCACUAGUUUUGAACCUUAUCAAGCAUCAAUAAUUUAGUUAUGGUUGUUCUCCCAGAACUGAGCUUGGAGCCAAUCCACAGCUUUCUUGUCCACCUGAAAUGCCUUAGCAAGAACGUCAUCCGAGAUUGGUGAAUUUGAUCCAAAUACUGCAUUAGCAAUGGUAAUCGCUCCAGGGUUCUGGCUGCUAAGUGCAGCGAUGGCAACUGCUGGCUUAUCAUAGCUUGGAUUGAACUGGAAGUGAAUGAGACCUUGUGGGAACACGAAGACAUCACCCUUGUUAAGUGUCUUGGUGAAGAGCUUGUUUUCUCCGUUUGCUUGGUUCGAUGUAACAAAACCAACAUAGAGUGUACCCUCAAGAACAGUUAGGAUCUCGGUAGCACGGGGAUGCGUGUGUGGUGGGUUUUGCCCUUUAGGAGCAUAGUCGAUCCUUGCCAUGGAGAUGCCAAGGGUGUUGAGACCUGCGAGUUUCAUCACAUUGAUCAAUGUAACAUUGGAUCCAGCCUUGCUCUUGGUUGUGUCCAUCGGCUUGUCGAGGUUAGCUGCUAGGAAGAAGUCAUCAACAUUCACAUCUUUAGCAUCCUUGCAAGGGAACCCAUUGACAUGUACUACAUUGAAGAACAUACAAAGGUCAGAUCGAAAGCUAGAAACAUAUAUAUGUACAACAUGAAUAUCUCAUAUCAUUGUUAAUCUGAUGUAACUGCAUGAUCAGUGAAGAAGUACACUACCUGG